UUUACCAUAUGCUGUAAAAGGGACCCUCUACCCGGUAAGCUUAAUUCUGCUGUUCAUCGUUUCUCUUUCUGUAUUCAGGAAGCUCUGGUCUUGAUCGUUCGUGACGGGAACGGGAAGUUCUCUCUCCAACGAAGGUGAUUCUGCGAGGGAGAGAAGGAAGAAGAAGAAUAGAGGUCAGUCGAAUCGAACGUGAUCUUGAUUGUGGCUGUACCUACCGUUGUCUCAGUGUAAGUCCCAUGUUCAGUUCGCUCUCUAAAACCCUACUACGCCGCCCGCUGUUCUUGCCCACCACCCUCAGAUUAAUCUCCACCGCCACCCCGAAUCGACCCUCUUUCGCGUUCUCUUAUCUUGUGAAUUCAUGUGGGUUGUCCCCGGAAUCGGCGCUGUUCGUUUCCAACCGCGUCACCUUCGAAACCUCGGCGAGACCCGACGCGGUCGUUAACGUCUUCAAGAGCCAUGGUUUCUCUCAAUCCCAGAUCUCGGGUAUCAUUAGGAAGUGCCCUCCGCUGAUUCUGGCGAGGCCUGAGAGGACCCUCUUGCCCAAAUUGAAGUAUCUACGCUCUGUCGGCUUUUCCGGCUCUGACCUGGCGCCAAUGAUCACCGCUGCUCCCUACUUAUUGACUAGGAGCUUAGAGAAGCGCCUCAUCCCCACUUUCGGUAGGCUGCGGGACUUUCUUGGGUGCGAUAAGAGCGCAGUUACAGCUAUUAGACGCAGUCCAAGAAUAUUGUUACAUGGUUUCGAGGCUACAGUUGAUCGUGUUGUCAAGAUUUUGAGAGAUAAUGGAGUGCGUGAAUCAAGCAUUAUGUGGUUAGUUAAGUGUCAUUUUAGGACGUUGAUGAAUUGGUACGAUCACCUCGAGAAAAUUGUGGAGAAAAUUAAGGGGAUGGGCUUUGAUGAUCCUUCUGCGGCAAAGUUCGCUGUGGCUAUGUUAGCGGUCUUGGGGAUGAGCGAAUCGAUGUGGGAGAGGAAAUUGGAUGCUUAUAGCAGGUGGGGUUGGUCUAAAGAUGAUGCCAUGAGUGCUUUUGUGAAGUGUCCUCGGUGCAUGACGAUAUCCGAGGAAAAAAUAAUGGCAGUGAUGGGAUUUUUUGUGAAUGAAAUGGGGUUUGAAUCUUCAUUUCUUCUGCAACAUCCUACCUUGAUGUCACUGAGCUUAGAAAAACGGAUUCGUCCUCGAUGUUUGGUUUUUAAACAUUUGUCGUCGCAUGGUUUGAUGAAGACGAAGUUUGGCUUGACUACCCUGUUGACGAUUUCUGAUAAAGAUUGCCUGGUGAAGUUCGUGACCCCUCAUAUAGGGGUAGCUCCAGAAUUGCUGGAUAUGUAUCGGGAGAAGAAGCAUAUGGCGAUGGGGGCACUGGUUCCAUGAAAUGGCACACGGUACCACAUAAUUCGUUUGUCCCUCUUUCAUUUAAGGUUGUCAUUCUGUUUAUUUUGCGUCUCAACUUUUGACUGCUGAUUCUUUUGAACUGUGUAGUGUAUCGAUGGAGAAUGCCUGCCAUAUCUUUUGAAAUCAUGGAAAAUGUCCAUUGUUUCACAUUCUCCCUUUAAGUUGGCUCUUUAUUCUUAGGCUUUCUGUAUACCUUGCCUUGAGGUUAAAUGUUCAUAUGAAAGCAUGGCCUAGAUGAUCCCUGAUUGUAGGCUUAAUAAGGUAAGAAAGUUAAGUUGCUCAUGUAUGCUGGUUAAUUCUUUAUCUGCUCAGAAUUUUUCCAAAUUGAGAAGCUUUGGGAAAGUGCCAAAAGGAACGAGGAAACCAUAGCCAUGAAUGCUUGGAAGUCUCAAUCUUCUGAUACACAGCAAUCUUCAGAGUGACAGCUGUGCCAACUUCAAGACCGCGAGACUAGACUUGGUCAUUCACUUGUUCACGAACAAUGGCCUUCAAUCGAUACCAGAUCUCACAGAUCAUUAGGGACACUUCCUCAGGUGAUUGUGGCCAAUCCUGCGAGGAAACCUUUUGCCCAAAUUCAAUUAUGUGCUCUCUUGGCUUUUCCUACUAUGAUCUGGCCAAAGUCAUCACCGCUUUUCAGGUGUUAUGAAGUUGAAGCAAUCUUUUCAUGACGAGCAAGAUAUGAAGUUGCAUAAUUUAUGGUUUAUGUUACGUAUUUUAACUUAUGUUGUCUUUUUUUAUUUCAUGUGUUUGUCUUCUACGAUUUGUCAUUUUUUGCAAGUGAUGAUUUUUAUUAUUAUCUUAUCUUAGAUUUAUGUUUGUUAUGUAUCGAUAUUUAUAGUUUGAUUGCGUAAUAUCGCAUUAUCGAUGGAUAUGUAAUUUGAAAGAA